CUUUAUUCCCCAAUUAAACCCUUCGCUUCCCAAGCUUUUAAGAUGCGACUAGUGGCCACUCCUCUCCGAAUCGGCCGUACCGAUUCCUAAUAACCAUUUCAGUGUAUGCGUCGUGGUAACUGAGACGGCGGCAGGCAGGCACGCAAAAGAGCGCCUCCGCCUUCCCCCGCUCUCACGUGGUUCACACCCGCGCCCUCCCCUCCUCGCUUGCCCCGCCGCCUAGCUAUAUAUCCAGUCUCGCCAAGCCAAGCCCUCAGCUCCUCUGCUACCUCUCACUUUCUCUCGAACCUGGCCGUCUGUCUGCCUGCCUGCCACCCAUCCUUGCACUGCUUACAGUGAGGAGAGUGAGCUCGAUCGGUCGGCCAUGGUUGAGGCGGCAGCUGCAGUGGCGGAGGAGGAGCAUGACGCGGCGGUGCGGGAGUACGACGACGUCCGCGACCGCGGCGGCGUGGAGGAGGUGGAGCGGGAGUGCGAGGUGGGGUCCAGCGGCGGCGGCGGCGGCGGCCAGAUGUGCCUCUUCACGGACCUCCUCGGCGACCCGCUCUGCCGCAUUCGCAACUCGCCGGACUUCCUCAUGCUGGUACGUAUUAUUUUUCUUUUUGAGGAAGUAUUCGUACGUGCCUACAGAACAAUGGCUGCGUUCUCCGUUCGUACUGUAUAUCCGUUUUGCCUUUUUCCUCCGCUCGUUUAAUUUCCUGUCGCUUCGGCGUUGGCCCACUCCCGCCUCUCUCGAAAACUAAUUAACUCGAAACGCAUGUUUGAACCGCCCUGAUAUGGAAAGGUCGCGGAGACAGCAACCGGCAGCGCCGGCGGCGGCGGCGGCGGCGCCGAGAUAAUCGGCCUCGUCCGCGGCUGCGUCAAGUCCGUCGUCUGCGGCGGCUCCCACUCCAAGGACCCCAUCUACACCAAGGUCGCCUACAUCCUCGGCCUCCGCGUCUCACCCAACCAUCGGAGGAAAGGGGUGGGGAGGAAGCUCGUGGAGAGGAUGGAGCAAUGGUUCCGGCAGAAGGGCGCGGAGUACUCGUACAUGGCGACGGAGCAGGACAACGAGGCGUCCGUGCGCCUCUUCACCUCCCGCUGCGGCUACUCCAAGUUCCGCACGCCGUCCUUGCUCGUGCACCCGGUGUUCCGCCACGCCCUCAAGCCCUCGCGCCGCGCCUCCAUCGUGCGCCUCGAGCCUCGCGACGCCGAGCGCCUCUACCGCUGGCACUUUGCCGCCGUCGAGUUCUUCCCCGCAGACAUCGACGCCGUGCUGUCCAACGCCCUGUCACUCGGCACGUUCCUGGCACUGCCGGCGGGCACGAGUUGGGACGGGGACGUCGAGGCGUUCCUCGCCGCGCCGCCGGCAUCGUGGGCGGUGCUGAGCGUGUGGAACUGCAUGGACGCCUUCCGCCUCGAGGUGCGUGGCGCACCCCGCCUGAUGCGCGCCGCGGCCGGCGCAACGCGGCUGGUGGACCGGGCGGCGCCGUGGCUCCGGAUACCCUCCAUCCCGAACCUCUUCGCGCCGUUCGGGCUCUACUUCCUCUACGGCCUGGGCGGCGCCGGACCGGGGGCGCCGCGGCUGGUGCGCGCGCUGUGCCGGCACGCGCACAACAUGGCCCGACGAGGCGGCUGCGGCGUGGUGGCCACCGAGGUGGCCGCCCUCGAGCCCGUGCGCGCGGGGGUGCCGCACUGGCCGCGGCUCGGCGCCGAGGACCUCUGGUGCAUCAAGCGGCUCGCCGACGGCUACAACCACGGCCUGCUCGGCGACUGGACCAAGGCGCCGCCCGGGCGCUCCAUCUUCGUCGACCGGCCUGCUCCUUCCAGAGCACUCUGCCGUGCCAGUGUUCCCUCCCGAACCUUCUGAGUUCCAAGGACGCGGUGCAUCACAUUUUGCCGUACGUACGUAGAGUGCUCUCUGUUUCAACUUGGUCAAGUUCAGAUAGAUGUGCGGUUACAGCUCUCUGGUCGAGAGAACAUGAGCUGACUUUGUCGACAGAGCUUUUUUUUUUUGAGAAACUUGUCGACAGAGCUGAGUAGCAGACCAGAGUGAAAACCUGGCGACCUUUUUGGUGCCUUUGGGCCGCUUUUUCGGCUUUCCGUGGCAAUUACUGGCUGAAACUUAGGCCCGCUUCGUAGAUUUGCUGCUUUUCUGCGCUCUGCGUCGACGCAUCCCCUUCCCCGUCUAUGUCAGAUCCUGCUUUUGUUGGUUCGAUGAUGAGCCCGGGACAGGGCUCCGGACUCCGGACUUGUUCUGGAUUCCGCUGCGUGGUUUACGUGUGACCCGCAGGCUUGGCUUCACCGGCCGGCCCCCCCCCCCGUUGGAGGUCGACCGCGGGGAUUCACGAC
rnacentral:rRNA from 1 species